rnacentral:rRNA from 1 species
UUAUACAUUUCAUGUAUCAACUGUUUAAACCCAUUCUGUGUACCUUGCCUGUUGCUUCCAUGGAGCCUGACUUUGGUCACUCUUGUGAUGUAAAUCCCAAGGGAGUCCCCAUGGAAGGUCAUCAAUAAAACUCAUGUAUCCAAUUUCUUCUGUCUGAACUGUUUAUAACAAAUGUUAAAACUUUCAACAACGGAUCUCUUGGUUCUCGCAUCGAUGAAGAACGCAGCGAAAUGCGAUAAGUAGUGUGAAUUGCAGAAUUCAGUGAAUCAUCGAAUCUUUGAACGCACAUUGCGCCUCCUGGUAUUCCGGGAGGCAUGCCUGUUCGAGCGUCAUUAAAUACCUCUCAAGCACCAUUGCUUGGUCAUGGAAGAUGAGUAUGCUUGCAUUCUCCCUUCUGAAAUUCAAAGGCGGAUCAUCUCAUAUUCCCUGGCGUAGUAAGUGUUUAUCUUUCGCUUGGAGUGUGUGACAGUCUUGCCAUCGACCCCCAUUAUUUCAAGGUUGACCUCGGAUCAGGUAGGGAUACCCGCUGAACUUAAGCAUAUCAAUAAGCGGAGGAA